ACGGAGGAAAAGAAACCAACAGGGAUUGCCUCAGUAACGGCGAGUGAAGCGGCAAAAGCUCAAAUUUGAAAUCCCCCGGGAAUUGUAAUUUGAAGAGAUUUGGGUCCGGCCGGCAGGGGUUAAGUCCACUGGAAAGUGGCGCCACAGAGGGUGACAGCCCCGUGAACCCCUUUAACGCCUUCAUCCCAGAUCUCCAAGAGUCGAGUUGUUUGGGAAUGCAGCUCUAAGUGGGUGGUAAAUUCCAUCUAAAGCUAAAUACCGGCGAGAGACCGAUAGCGAACAAGUACAGUGAUGGAAAGAUGAAAAGCACUUUGAAAAGAGAGUGAAAAAGUACGUGAAAUUGUUGAAAGGGAAGGGCUUGCAAGCAGACACUUAACUGGGCCAGCAUCGGGGCGGCGGGAAACAAAACCACCGGGGAAUGUACCUUUCGAGGAUUAUAACCCCGGUCUUUAUUUCCUUGUUGCCCCGAGGCCUGCAAUCUAAGGAUGCUGGCGUAAUGGUUGCAAGUCGCCCGUCUA
rnacentral:rRNA from 2 species